rnacentral:lncRNA from 1 species
UUAAGUACCAAAUCUUUGAGCUUUAGAAGAGAAUUUUGAGACAUACAACAACAUUAAUGAUAUUUUAAUUAAAAAAGAAAAAAAAGAAUCAAACCUUUUUUUAACAACAAAUAUAUUAUUAAUAAACCAGGUUUCUGUCUGCCCAAGACGAACAGAGACCGUUAAAAGAAGGGCUACAAAACAAAGGUGUCGUAUGAAGGCGGAAAAAAAAAAUCAAACCAAGUCUUGUUUAAUUCCUUCUGUACAACUUCAGAAAGAUAUGAUCCCUCACAUGGACCAUACAUUAAUGAACACUAGAUUGCAGAUAUGUCACCACCGAUACCACCAAUUACGGCCCUUUUAAAAAUAAUUUAUACUCCUACAUUGAAAUUUUUUAUUCUUAUAUUCCUUACAAUACAUGCAUGUUUAUGACACAGUUCUGGGGCAGGAGUUAAUAUGCAUAAGGGUGUAUUUAUGCACAGUGCAUAAAGUGAUGACAACCAUCCGAUCAUGAUUUUUUGAUGACACGUGUAAUGAUCUGAAGGUCUCACUCUCUGACCCUGAGUCACACAGGAUCACACUAUUCUCUCAAGCUCACCGUCGCGAUUCUCUCAAGCUCUCCGGCGCGAUUCUCUCAAGCUCUCUGGCGCGAUUCUCUCUGAAUCUCGUCGUCGUCUUCUCCAUCUCAAAUCGUGUUCUUGUAUCGUGUUC